GAUCGGUCUGGCCACCCUCCAUUGGUCAAGUGCCAGCCUAUGGCCAGAAGGUUAGGCAAAGAGCAGGCAGAAGAUCCACUGGGCAUGGCCUUGUCUUCCGGCCAAACCAGAUGACACCCACACAGGACCAACACCACAUACGUGCCAUGAGUUUCCCCUGCAUGCUUUCAACAAGCAGCAUAAGUGAAGAGAGCGUCAGUGAGAAGAGAGAAGAGAAUCUCUCCCACAGUGCCCUAGCAGAGGCUAAGCCCAUCUGCAGCAGGGGCUGGCGCAGAGGCAUCAUGCGAUGGACAAGGAGGGUGGGUAAUGCCAUCAGGACGCUGUGUUGCUGCAUUCCAUCAAGAAAAACACCUCGGCUGGGGCAGAGGAGAGUCUCUCCCCAGAAAUGAGGCACAGAGAGAAAUUCCAGAGACACAGCAGCAGGCAGGGCCCAGUGUCAUCUGGGAACUUUUUCACAUCGUGAGUAUAAAGAGGAGGCUAUUUGAAACACCCUAGAAAAAGACAGUUGUAGAAGCUAUAGCAGCAGAGGCAGCGGCAGCGGCAGCAGCAAACCCCCUGGCUUCCCUGUCUAUGUUGGGGAGGCAGAGGACAACCACAUAGGUGACCAGUAUGUCUGCCUAGUCAUCCAGACAGCUCAUGACUACCUCGCACAGUGACAUCUGAGGCUGCACACUGGUGGAGCUGCUGGUUUUCAAGAAGUUAACUCCUCUCCAUGGAAUGAAGUUCCUAAGCUUCCUCUCCCUGUACUAGCCAGGUGAAGACCCACUCCUGCAGGACAUUGUGGUGUAGCAAAGAUCUGUACAGCCAUCCCGUCUAUGCCAGCCAGCCCUGAAGGUGGCUUGCUAGCAUUCUAGCACCACCAGUCUUUGUCCAUGUCUGGCAAGGCAGUUCUUUCCCCUCAAACCAUCUUCCCACCAUAUCAUUCUGUUUUGUCUGCCCACUGAUAGGAGAUGGGGAACCAGCUCUGACACUAGUUUGGCAUGGGGAAGGUCCAAUUCUUCCUGUCCCUGGCUCUCAGCUCCUGGGAUUCUCAGGAGCAAAAGUAUCUGAGAGAAACAAGAGUCAAUGUUAGCCCUG
rnacentral:lncRNA from 1 species